rnacentral:rRNA from 1 species
GACGAACGCUGGCGGCGUGCUUAACACAUGCAAGUCGAACGGAAAGGCCCUGCUUUUGUGGGGUGCUCGAGUGGCGAACGGGUGAGUAACACGUGAGUAACCUGCCCUUGACUUUGGGAUAACUUCAGGAAACUGGGGCUAAUACCGGAUAGGAGCUCCUGCUGCAUGGUGGGGGUUGGAAAGUUUCGGCGGUUGGGGAUGGACUCGCGGCUUAUCAGCUUGUUGGUGGGGUAGUGGCUUACCAAGGCUUUGACGGGUAGCCGGCCUGAGAGGGUGACCGGCCAAAUUGGGACUGAGGUACGGCCCAGACUCCCACGGGAGGCAACAGUGGGGAAUAUUGCACAAUGGGCCGAAGCCUGAUGCAGCCACGCCGCGUGCGGGAUGACGGCCUUCGGGUUGUAAACCGCUUUCGCCUGUGACGAAGCGUGAGUGACGGUAAUGGGUAAAGAAGCACCGGCUAACUACGUG